rnacentral:rRNA from 1 species
AAAACAGAACUGUGGGGACAUUUGUGGAGAGCACAGGCGCGGAACGGAAAGCCGCGUGCAAGCGAAGGAGGAGUCACAUAGGAAAAACCGUGUGGCAAUCCAGAGGCGUGAUGCGGACCGAACUAAAGUAGGGAAGUGUGUGAGCCAUGAAUCAAGAAAAGCCGCUAUUGUUUUUAAGAUACCCGUACCGUAAACCGACACAGGUGGAUGAGGAGAGAAUCCUAAGGCCGGCGGAAGAAGCAUUGUUAAGGAACUCGGCAAAAUGACCCCGUAACUUCGGGAGAAGGGGUGCCAACGAGAGUUGGCCGCAGAGAAUAGGCUCAAGCAACUGUUUAGCAAAAACACAGGUCUAUGCAAAACCGUAAGGUGAGGUAUAUGGGCUGACGCCUGCCCGGUGCUGGAAGGUUAAGAGGAGAGGUUAGCGCAAGCGAAGCUUUGAAUUUAAGCCCCAGUAAACGGCGGCCGUAACAAUAACGGUCCUAAGGUAGCGAAAUUCCUUGUCGGGUAAGUUCCGACCCGCACGAAAGGCGUAAUGUUUUGAGCGCUGUCUCGACAAUGCAUCCGGUGAAAUUGAAGUACCAGUGAAGAUGCUGGUUACCCGCGCCAGGACGGAAAGACCCCAUGGAGCUUUACUCCAGUUUGGUACUGGGGUCCGGCAGUGCAUGUACAGGAUAGGUGGGAGGCUGUGAACCUGGAACGCCAGUUUCAGGGGAGCCAUUGUUGGGAUACCACCCUUGUGCUGCUGGGCUUCUAACCAGCGGCCUUUAUCAGGCCGGGGACAAUGCCAGACGGGGAGUUUGACUGGGGCGGUCGCCUCCGAAAGGGUAUCGGAGGCGCUCAAAGGUUCCCUCAGAAUGGUCGGAAACCAUUCGAAGAGUGCAAAGGCAGAAGGGAGCUUGACUGCGACACCGACGGGUGGAGCAGGUACGAAAGUAGGACUUAGUGAUCCGGUGGUAUUAAGUGGGAAUGCCAUCGCUCAACGGAUAAAAGCUACCCUGGGAUAACAGGCUUAUCACUCCCAAGAGUUCACAUCGACGGAGUGGUUUGGCACCUCGAUGUCGGCUCAUCGCAUCCUGGGGCUGUAGUAGGUCCCAAGGGUUGGGCUGUUCGCCCAUUAAAGCGGUACGCGAGCUGGGUUCAGAACGUCGUGGGACAGUUCGGUCCCUAUCCGGCGUGGGCGUAGGAUAUUUGAGAGGAGCUGUCCUUAGUACGAGAGGACCGGGAUGGACUGACCUCUGGUGUACCGGUUGAGCCGCCAGGUUCACGGCCGGGUAGCCAAGUCGGGAAGGGAUAAACGCUGAAGGCAUCUAAGCGUGAAGCCCCCCUCAAGAUGAGAUAUCCCAUUCGAAAGAAGUAAGACCCCUUGAAGACGACGAGGUAGAUAGGGCAGGGGUGGAAGUGCCGUAAGGCAUGGAGCUGACUGUUACUAAUCGGUCGAGGGCUUGUC